GAUGAACGCUGACAGCAUGCUUAACACAUGCAAGUCAACUGUGGCGGACGGGUGAUUAACGCGUAAAGAACUUGCCUCACAGAUAGGGACAACUUUUGGAAACGAAUGCUAAUACCUGACACUGUGAGAGAGGUUUGCGUCCCAUUAGCUAGUUGGAGAGGUUACGGCUCACCAAGGCGAUGAUGGGUAGCCGGCCUGAGAGGGUGAUCGGCCACAAGGGGACAGGGGAACGGCCAUUACGGAAACGGGAGGCAGGAGUGGGGGAUAUUGGAAAAUAGGCCAAAGUCUGAUCAAGGAAUUCUGUGUGGAAGAUGAAGUUUUCGGAAUGAAAAGUGCUGUAAGUUAGGAAGCGGUACCAACAGAAGAAGUGACGGCUAAAUACGUGCCAGCAGCCGCGGUAAUUC
rnacentral:rRNA from 1 species